rnacentral:rRNA from 1 species
AGAGAGAGACAUGCGCGCAUAUCAAUAAGCGGAGGAAAAGAAACUAACUAGGAUUCCCUUAGUAACGGCGAGUGAAGCGGGAAGAGCUCAAAUUUGAAAUCUUCAAGGUUUUACCUUGACGAAUUGUAGUUUAAAGAAGUGUUUUCUGCUGAAGUUUUGGUAAAAGUUCUUUGGAAUAGGACAUCAUAGAGGGUGAGAAUCCCGUAUUUGACCAUUAUUUUCAGCUUUGUGAUACACUUUCAAAGAGUCGGAUUGUUUGGGAAUGCAGUCCAAAAUGGGUGGUAAAUUUCAUCUAAAGCUAAAUAUUGGCGAGAGACCGAUAGCGAACAAGUACCGUGAGGGAAAGAUGAAAAGAACUUUGAAAAGAGAGUUAAACAGUACGUGAAAUUGUCAAAAGGGAAGCGUUUGACACCAGUGUUGUUUUCUCGAAAAUCAAUUAAAAAUGGCUCGAUUUUGUAUUGUUGAGACCUUAAAAGCUCACUGUACAUUUUUCGUGUCCUUUUUUAAUGCACUUUUCGUUUAACAAGUCAACAUCAGUUUCUUUUGUUGCUAAAAGGGUCAUUGGAAGGUGGCUUUCUUUUCGGAGAAAGUGUUUAUAGCCUUUGGCCUCUGCAAUCGGAGAGACUGAGGUCUGCAGCGUAGACUCUUCGGGGUUAGAUACAUUUGUGCUAAGUUAUAGCUUUUUAUAGACAACUUGUUGACUAUAAUUAGUCUUGUAGCUUACUCGCUUAUGCUAUUUUACCUACGCUUAGGAUGUUGAAGAUGUAGCACAUCAU